rnacentral:misc_RNA from 1 species
GACGAGGGGUCCUAGCGUUGUUCGGAAUCAUUGGGCGUAAAGCGUAUGUAGGCGGCUAUUUAAGUCGGGUGUGAAAGCCCCGGGCUCAACCUGGGAAGUGCAUCCGAAACUGAGUAGCUUGAGUAUGGGAGAGGAUAGUGGAAUUCCUGGUGUAGUGGUGAAAUACGUAGAUAUCAGGAGGAAUACCGGUGGCGAAGGCGGCUAUCUGGCCCUACACUGACGCUGAGAUACGAAAGCGUGGGGAUCAAACAGG